rnacentral:rRNA from 1 species
CAGCCGCCGCGGUAAUACGUAGGGUGCGAGCGUUAAUCGGAUUUACUGGGCGUAAAGCGUGCGCAGGCGGUCCGUUAAGACAGGUGUGAAAUCCCUGGGCUCAACCUAGGAAUUGCGCUUGUGACUGGCGGGCUCGAGUACGGUAGAGGGUGGUGGAAUUCCUGGUGUAGCAGUGAAAUGCGUAGAGAUCAGGAGGAACACCGAUGGCGAAGGCAGCCCCCUGGGCCUGUACUGACGCUCAUGCACGAAAGCGUGGGGAGCAAACAGGAUUAGAUCCCCGGGUAGUCAACGCCCUAAACGAUGGGUACUAGCCGUUUGGUGCGCGAGAGCGCUGAGUGGCGAAGCUAACGCGAGAAGUACCCCGCCUGGGGAGUACGGCCGCAAGGUUGAAACUUAAAGGAAUUGGCGGG